rnacentral:rRNA from 1 species
GCUGGCGGCGUGCUUAACACAUGCAAGUCGAACGAUGAAACCUAGCUUGCUAGGUGGAUUAGUGGCGCACGGGUGAGUAAUAUAUAGGUAAUGUGCCUCUUAGUCUGGGAUAGCCAUUGGAAACGAUGAUUAAUACUGGAUACUCCUUCUAACUCUAAUGUUAGUCGGGAAAGUUUUUCGCUAAGAGAUCAGCCUAUAUCCCAUCAGUUAGUUGGUAAGGUAACGGCUUACCAAGGCAAUGACGGGUAGCGGGUUUGAGAGGAUGAUCCGCCACACUGGUACUGAGACACGGACCAGACUCCUACGGGAGGCAGCAGUGAGGAAUAUUGCACAAUGGGGGAAACCCUGAUGCAGCAACGCCGCGUGGAGGAUGACGCAUUUCGGUGUGUAAACUCCUUUUAUAUGUCAAGAAAAUGACGGUAGCAUAUGAAUAAGCACCGGCUAACUCCGUGCCAGCAGCCGCGGUAAUACGGAGGGUGCAAGCGUUACUCGGAAUCACUGGGCGUAAAGGACGCGUAGGCGGAUUGGAAAGUCAGAUGUGAAAUCCUACAGCUUAACUGUAGAACUGCAUUUGAAACUUCUAAUCUAGAGUAUGGGAGGGGGAGAUGGAAUUAGUGGUGUAGGGGUAAAAUCCGUAGAUAUCACUAGGAAUACCGAAAGCGAAGGCGAUCUCCUGGAACAUUACUGACGCUAAGGCGUGAAAGCGUGGGGAGCAAACAGGAUUAGAUACCCUGGUAGUCCACGCCCUAAACGAUGAACACUAGUCGUCGGGAUGCUUGUCAUCUCGGUGAUGCACUUAACAGAUUAAGUGUUCCGCCUGGGGAGUAC